rnacentral:rRNA from 1 species
UACGAAGGGGGCUAGCGUUGCUCGGAAUUACUGGGCGUAAAGGGCGCGUAGGCGGCACUGUUAGUCAGGCGUGAAAGUCCUGGGCUCAACCUGGGAACUGCGCUUGAUACGGCAGAGCUAGAGGAUGGAAGAGGGUCGCGGAAUUCCCAGUGUAGAGGUGAAAUUCGUAGAUAUGGGAAGAACACCGGUGGCGAAGGCGGCGACCUGGUCCAUUACUGACGCGAGGCGCGACAGCGUGGGGAGCAAACAGG